GAUGAACGCUGGCGGCGUGCCUAAUACAUGCAAGUCGAACGCUUCACUUCGGUGAAGGGUGGCGAACGGGUGAGUAAUACAUAAGUAACCUGGCAUCUACAGGGGGAUAACUGAUGGAAACGUCAGCUAAGACCGCAUAGGUGUAGAGAUCGCAUGAACUCUAUAUGAAAAGUGCUACGGGACUGGUAGAUGAUGGACUUAUGGCGCAUUAGCUUGUUGGUAGGGUAACGGCCUACCAAGGCGACGAUGCGUAGCCGACCUGAGAGGGUGACCGGCCACACUGGGACUGAGACACGGCCCAGACUCCUACGGGAGGCAGCAGUAGGGAAUUUUCGGCAAUGGGGGAAACCCUGACCGAGCAACGCCGCGUGAAGGAAGAAGUAAUUCGUUAUGUAAACUUCUGUCAUAGAGGAAGAACGGUGGAUAUAGGGAAUGAUAUCCAAGUGACGGUACUCUAUAAGAAAGCCACGGCUAACUACGUG
rnacentral:rRNA from 1 species